rnacentral:rRNA from 1 species
UACGUAGGGGGCGAGCGUUGUCCGGAAUCAUUGGGCGUAAAGCGCGUGUAGGCGGUCCGGUAAGUCCGCUGUGAAAGUCGGGGGCUCAACCCUCGGAUGCCGGUGGAUACUGUCGGGCUCGAGUACGGAAGAGGCGAGUGGAAUUCCUGGUGUAGCGGUGAAAUGCGCAGAUAUCAGGAGGAACACCAAUUGCGAAGGCAGCUCGCUGGGACGUUACUGACGCUGAGAUGCGAAAGCGUGGGGAGCAAACAGG